rnacentral:rRNA from 1 species
CCAAAAUCUUCCCAGGGUUAGUCGGGUCCUAAGGCGAGGCCGAGAGGCGUAGUCGAUGGCAAUCGGGUUAAUAAUCCCGAACCGCAAAUAACGCGUUAUUACCGAUGGGGUGACGCAUGGAGCAGAAUUUAGCCACUGAUGGAUGUGGCGGAUUGCGCGUAAGAUGUACAGGUGGCAAAUCCCCUGUACGCAUAUCUGAGACGCAGGACCUUUUGAGGGCUUCGGCCCAAAGAAGAGUAAUUCCGGUCUGUGCCAGGAAAAACCUCUAAGGGAGUUUUAUUUGUGCCCGUACCGUAAACCGACACAGGUAGACGAGGCGAAUAGCCUAAGGUGCUCGAGACAACUCGGGAGAAGGAACUCGGCAAAUUAACCCCGUAACUUCGGGAUAAGGGGAGCCUCCAUUUGUUAGUGUGAACAGCACAAAGCAUAAGGAGGCCGCAGAGAAAUGGCAGAAGCGACUGUUUACCAAAAACACAGGGCUAUGCAAACCCGUAAGGGAAAGUAUAUAGUCUGACACGUGCCCGGUGCUGGAAGGUUAACAGGAGAUGUCAGCGCAAGCGAAGCAUUGAAUCGAAGCCCCAGUAAACGGCGGCCGUAACGAUAACGGUCCUAAGGUAGCGAAAUUCCUUGUCGGGUAAGUUCCGACCUGCACGAAUCGUGUAACGACUUCUGCACUGUCUCCUCCCGGGACUCGGCGAAAUUGCAGUGUCGGUGAAGAUGCCGACAACCCGCACCUGGACGGAAAGACCCCAUGAACCUUCACUGUAUUUUGACAUUGGUUUUAGGCUUGACAUGUGUAGGAUAGGUGGGAGGCUUUGAAGCGGUGACGCCAGUCAUCGUGGAGCCAUCCUUGAAAUACCACCCUUGUCCGGUUUGAGAUCUAACCGUGGCCCGUCAUCCGGGUCCGGGACCGUGUCUGAUGGUCAGUUUGACUGGGGCGGUCGCCUCCUAAAUGGUAACGGAGGCAUCCAAUGGUUCCCUCAGCGCGGUCGGUAAUCGCGCGUAGAGCAUAAAGGCAUAAGGGAGCUUGACUGCGAGACAGACAUGUCGAGCAGGUACGAAAGUAGGGCUUAGUGAUCCCGCGGUACAGCGUGGAACGGCCGUUGCUCAAUGGAUAAAAGGUACUCUGGGGAUAACAGGCUGAUCUCCCCCAAGCGUUCAUAGCGACGGGGAGGUUUGGCACCUCGAUGUCGGCUCGUCGCAUCCUGGGGCUGGAGAAGGUCCCAAGGGUUUGGCUGUUCGCCAAUUAAAGCGGCACGCGAGCUGGGUUCAGAACGUCGUGAGACAGUUCGGUCCCUAUCCGGUGUGGGCGCACGAAAUUUGAGGGAACCUGUCCUUAGUACGAGAGGACCGGGACGGACGCACCUCUGGUGUACCGGCUGUCACGCCAGUGGCAUUGCCGGGUAGCUAUGUGCGGAUUGGAGAAACGCUGAAAGCAUCUAAGCGUGAAGCCAUUCCCAAGAUUAGAUUUCGCGGGGGCAACCCCCUAAAGGAUCGUUAGAGACCAUAACGUUGAUAGGUCACAGGUGUAAGCAUAGCGAUAUGUUGAGCCGAGUGAUACUAAUAGUCCGUGAGGCUUU